CCAGCACCCCGAGUGGUCGGGACGAUUAUUGGGCCUAAAGCAUCCGUAGCCGGUUUUACAAGUCCUCCGUUAAAUCCAACUGCUUAACAGAUGGGCCGCGGAGGAUACUAUAAGACUAGGAGGCAGGAGAGGCAAGCGGUACUCAGUGGGUGGGGGUAAAAUCCGUUGAUCCAUUGAAGACCACCAGUGGCGAAGGCGGCUUGCCAGAAUGCGCUCGACGGUGAGGGAUGAAAGCUGGGGGAGCAAACCGGAUUAGAUACCCGGGUAGUCCCAGCCGUAAACGAUGCAGACUCGGUGAUGGACCAGCUUCAUGCUAGUCCAGUGCCGCAGGGAAGCCGUUAAGUCUGCCGCCUGGGUAGUACGGUCGCAAGACUG
rnacentral:rRNA from 1 species